UGGAUUGAGAUGUAAUACCAGAAUCAGAGUCCCAUUCUUGAUCUGAGUGAGGUAAUGACAUGCUACGUCUUUUUACAAGUUUAGGACUCAAUCUUU
rnacentral:snoRNA from 1 species